GCAUAUCAAUAAGCGGAGGAAAAGAAACCAACAGGGAUUGCCUCAGUAACGGCGAGUGAAGCGGCAACAGCUCAAAUUUGAAAUCUGGCCUCACGGUCCGAGUUGUAAUUUGUAGAGGAUGCUUUUGGCGAGGUGCUUUCCGAGUUCCCUGGAACGGGACGCCAUAGAGGGUGAGAGCCCCGUACGGUAAGACCACCGAGCCUCUGUAAAGCUCCUUCGACGAGUCGAGUAGUUUGGGAAUGCUGCUCUAAAUGGGAGGUGUACGUCUUCUAAAGCUAAAUACCGGCCAGAGACCGAUAGCGCACAAGUAGAGUGAUCGAAAGAUGAAAAGCACUUUGAAAAGAGGGUUAAAAAGUACGUGAAAUUGUUGAAAGGGAAGCAUUCAUGACCAGACUUGGGCUUGGUUGAACAUCCGGCGUUCUCGCCGGUGCACUCUGCCAGUCCAGGCCAGCAUCAGUUUGCCCCGGGGGACAAAGGCGGUGGGAAUGUGGCUCUCUUCGGGGAGUGUUAUAGCCCGCCGUGUAAUGCCCUGGGGCGGACUGAGGAACGCGCUUCGGCACGGAUGCUGGCGUAAUGGUCAUCAAUGACCCGUCUUGAAACACGGACC
rnacentral:rRNA from 1 species